rnacentral:rRNA from 1 species
UGGGGAAUAUUGGACAAUGGGCGAAAGCCUGAUCCAGCCAUGCCGCGUGUGUGAAGAAGGUCUUCGGAUUGUAAAGCACUUUAAGUUGGGAGGAAGGGCAGUUACCUAAUACGUAAUUGUUUUGACGUUACCGACAGAAUAAGCACCGGCUAACUCUGUGCCAGCAGCCGCGGUAAUACAGAGGGUGCAAGCGUUAAUCGGAAUUACUGGGCGUAAAGCGCGCGUAGGUGGUUUGUUAAGUUGGACGUGAAAUCCCCGGGCUCAACCUGGGAACUGCAUUCAAAACUGACUGACUAGAGUAUGGUAGAGGGUGGUGGAAUUUCCUGUGUAGCGGUGAAAUGCGUAGAUAUAGGAAGGAACACCAGUGGCGAAGGCGACCACCUGGACUAAUACUGACACUGAGGUGCGAAAGCGUGGGGAGCAAACA